AGCGAACGCUGGCGGCAGGCCUAACACAUGCAAGUCGAACGAACUCUUCGGAGUUAGUGGCGGACGGGUGAGUAACACGUGGGAACGUGCCUUUAGGUUCGGAAUAACUCAGGGAAACUUGUGCUAAUACCGAAUGUGCCCUUCGGGGGAAAGAUUUAUCGCCUUUAGAGCGGCCCGCGUCUGAUUAGCUAGUUGGUGAGGUAAAGGCUCACCAAGGCGACGAUCAGUAGCUGGUCUGAGAGGAUGAUCAGCCACAUUGGGACUGAGACACGGCCCAAACUCCUACGGGAGGCAGCAGUGGGGAAUCUUGCGCAUGGGCGAAAGCCUGACGCAGCCAUGCCGCGUGAAUGAUGAAGGUCUUAGGAUUGUAAAAUUCUUUCACCGGGGACGAUAAUGACGGUACCCGGAGAAGAAGCCCCGGCUAACUUCGUG
rnacentral:rRNA from 1 species